CCUACGGGUGGCAGCAGUGGGGAAUAUUGGGCAAUGGGCGCAAGCUUGAUCCAGCAACGCCGCGUGAAGGAAGAAGGCUUUCGGGUUGUAAACUUCUUUUAUCAGGGACGAAGAAAGUGACGGUACCUGAGGAAUAAGCUACGGCUAACUACGUGCCAGCAGCCGCGGUAAUACGUAGGUGGCAAGCGUUAUCCGGAUAUAAUGGGUGCAAAGGGCGUGUAGGCAGGAGCGCAAGUCAGAUGUGAAAACUCAGGGCACAACCCACGGCCUGCAUUUGAGACUGUGUUUCUUGAGUGAGGUAGAGGCAAUCGGAAUUCCGUGUGUAGCGGUGAAAUGCGUAGAUAUACGGAGGAACACCAGUGGCGAAGGCGGAUUACUGGACAGUAACUGACGCUGAGGCGCGAAAGCGUGGGGAGCAAACAGGAUUAGAUACCCCGGUAGUC
rnacentral:rRNA from 1 species